CUCAUCUGUACAUCGUCACCGCCGGCGGUGGCGAGCUGCCUUCGCCGCCGCUCUUAAUGGAAUUUAAGGGAACAAAGAAUCCGAAUGUGAUAAGACGCUACCAGACGAAGAAAGGUAGGAGGAGGUUCAUGUGGUGGCGAUGGAGGAGGUACCGGAGGAUGGCCGGACGUAGAGGUCGUAUGGCUUCCAGAGUUGGUCGACCGGGCAGGGGUUACCGGCGUCUAGGCGAUCCCAUGGCUUCCCCUUUCCGCUCCAGUGCAUCAGGCUGACUGGGCCGGGGUGGAGCCUCCGGCACUCUCCGGUGAGGUUGUCGCCGCCGAGACCGUGCUGGUUCCACCGGUGCUCCAAACCCUCCACCUCCCCGGCGAAAACCAGCAGGAAGGGCGGCAGCGAGCCCAGCUCGUAGAUUCGACGCUCCCGCUGCACCUCCAUCCACCGCUCGAUCCGGCGGCGGUACCCUCCGGCCCGCCACCGGCGGAGGUCCAUCACCAUCACGCCGGUGUUGAAGUAGCAGGGCCGGUGACGCCGCCCGGCGAAGGCCUGCGCCCCGCCUUCCGCCCAAAAGGUGGGCGCGAAGUAGCGGGUGAAGUUGGCGUGGCAGUACUCCGGAGCGGCGACGACGGCGGCGGCGGAGUCGAGGCGGGCGGCGGCGUCGUCCCAGAGACGGCGAACGUCAUCGACGACGAUGACGUCAGAGUCAAGGUAGACGACGCGCUGGACGCAGGAG
rnacentral:lncRNA from 1 species